GACGAACGCUGGCGGCGUGCUUAACACAUGCAAGUCGAGCGGUAAGGCCCUUUCGGGGGUACGACGAGCGGCGAACGGGUGAGUAACACGUGGGUGACCUGCCCUCAGCUCUGGGAGUAAGCCUGGGAAACCGGGUACUAUACUGGAUAUGACUCCAUGACGCAUGUUGUGGGGUGGAAAGCCUUGUGCGGCUGAGGAUGGGCCCGCGGCCUAUCAGCUUGUUGGUGGGGU
rnacentral:rRNA from 1 species